rnacentral:rRNA from 1 species
GACGAACGCUGGCGGCGUGCUUAACACAUGCAAGUCGAACGGAAAGGCCCUGCUUUUGUGGGGUGCUCGAGUGGCGAACGGGUGAGUAACACGUGAGUAACCUGCCCUUGACUUUGGGAUAACUUCAGGAAACUGGGGCUAAUACCGGAUAGGAGCUCCUGCUGCAUGGUGGGGGUUGGAAAGUUUCGGCGGUUGGGGAUGGACUCGCGGCUUAUCAGCUUGUUUGUGGGGUAGUGGCUUACCAAGGCUUUGACGGGUAGCCGGCCUGAGAGGGUGACCGGCAACAUUGGGACUGAGAUACGGCCCAGACUGCAACGGGAGGCAGCAGUGGGGAAUAUUGCACAAGGGGCGGAAGCCUGAUGCAGCAACGCCGCGUGCGGGAUGACGGCCUUCGGGUUGUAAACCGCUUUCGCCUGUGACGAAGCGUGAGUGACGGUAAUGGGUAAAGAAGCACCGGCUAACUACGUG